rnacentral:rRNA from 1 species
UACAGAGGGUGCGAGCGUUGUUCGGAAUUAUUGGGCGUAAAGGGCGCGUAGGCGGUGCGGUAAGUCACCUGUGAAAUCUCCUGGCUCAACUGGGAGCUUGCAGGCGAAACUGCCGUGCUGGAGUGUGGGAGAGGUGCGUGGAAUUCCCGGUGUAGCGGUGAAAUGCGUAGAGAUGUGGAGGAACACCAGUGGCGAAGGCGACUCUUUGGCCUGUAACUGACGCUGAGGCGCGAAAGCGUGGGGAGCAAACAGG